CACGUAGGCACCAAGCGUUGUCCGGAUUUAUUGGGCGUAAAGAGCUCGUAGGCGGUCUGUUGCGUCGGCUGUGAAAACCCGGGGCUCAACUCCGGGCCUGCAGCCGAUACGGGCAGACUAGAGUUCGGCAGGGGAGACUGGAAUUCCUGGUGUAGCGGUGAAAUGCGCAGAUAUCAGGAGGAACACCGGUGGCGAAGGCGGGUCUCUGGGCCGAUACUGACGCUGAGGAGCGAAAGCGUGGGGAGCGAACAGG
rnacentral:rRNA from 1 species